AGUGAACGCUGGCGGUAGGCCUAACACAUGCAAGUCGAACGGCAGCACAGUAAGAGCUUGCUCUUACGGGUGGCGAGUGGCGGACGGGUGAGGAAUACAUCGGAAUCUACUUUUUCGUGGGGGAUAACGUAGGGAAACUUACGCUAAUACCGCAUACGACCUACGGGUGAAAGCAGGGGAUCUUCGGACCUUGCGCGAUUGAAUGAGCCGAUGUCGGAUUAGCUAGUUGGCGGGGUAAAGGCCCACCAAGGCGACGAUCCGUAGCUGGUCUGAGAGGAUGAUCAGCCACACUGGAACUGAGCCACGGUCAAGACUCCUACGGGAGGCAGCAGUGGGGAAUAUUGGACAAUGGGCGCAAGCCUGAUCCAGCCAUACCGCGUGGGUGAAGAAGGCCUUCGGGUUGUAAAGACCUUUUGUUGGGAAAGAAAAGCAGCAGGUUAAUACCCCGCUGUUCUGACGGUACCCAAAGAAUAAGCACCGGCUAACUUCGUG
rnacentral:rRNA from 1 species